GGUAAUAAGGAACAUAAGGUUAUGAUACACUUUUGCUAUGCACUCCUGCUUGCAGGACGCCCACCACUGCAAUCACAGAAAUUCUGUUACAGUGA